CCACCUAAUUCCUAAUCUAAGGCAGAAAUACAAUGUCCGCUCUAUGCCUAUCCGAAAAGAUGACGAAGUCCAGGUUGUCCGGGGACAUUAUAAAGGCCAGCAAAUCGGCAAGGUAGUCCAGGUAUACAGAAAAAAAUACGUCACCUACAUUGAACGCGUACAGCGUGAGAAGGCCAACGGCACAACAGUCCAUGUUGGAAUCCAUCCUAGCAAGGUGGUGAUCACUAGGCUAAAACUGGACAAGGAUCGCAAAAAGAUCUUGGAACGCAAAGCAAAGUCUUGCCAGGUUGGCAAGGAGAAGGGCAAAUACAAGGAAGAAACCAUUGAAAAGAUGCAAGAAUAGAAUGGUCUCCUGUGUGUCACCCAUUAAAAGAACUGCUAAAAUGAAAAAAAAAA